rnacentral:rRNA from 1 species
GGACGAACGCUGGCGGCGUGCCUAAUACAUGCAAGUCGAGCGAAGAAUUAUUGGUGCUUGCACCGAUAAUUCUUAGCGGCGAACGGGUGAGUAACACGUAAAGAACCUGCCUUAUAGACCGGGAUAACUAUGGGAAACUGUAGCUAAUACCGGAUAACAGUAUUUUCCGCAUGGGAGAUAUUUAAAAGUCGGUCAUGCUGACACUAUAAGAUGGCUUUGCGGAGCAUUAGCUAGUUGGUGGGAUAAAAGCCUACCAAGGCGACGAUGCAUAGCCGACCUGAGAGGGUGAACGGCCACAUUGGGACUGAGACACGGCCCAAACUCCUACGGGAGGCAGCAGUAGGGAAUCUUCCGCAAUGGACGAAAGUCUGACGGAGCAACGYCGCGUGAGUGAAGAAGGAUUUCGGUUCGUAAAGCUCUGUUGUUAGGGAAGAAAGGUUGUGUAGUAACUAUACACAAAACAGACGGUACCUAACCAGAAAGCCACGGCUAACUACGU